CAUUCAAGCUGGAGUACACUGUGAAGACCGUGAAGUAUGGUGGAGCAAGCAUCAUGAUAUGGGGAUGUUUCUCAUACUAUGGUGUCGAGCCCAUUUAUCACAUA